UUGAUUGGCUAAAUCGGACGUUGGGAGAAUUUGCUAUGGAGUGGUGAUUUUGUGGCUACACCGAGAUCAAAGAUUUAUCAACUUGUUGUUUUUCGACAACAUCAUUGCGACAUUAACAAUAUCUUCAAACGUGACCGUUGUUCCCUUGAACACUUACAGUUUUGAGUAAGAAAAUCGCCAACAACUAAGAUUCGUCAACGUCCAUGUUUAGCUUGUCACGUCACACUCAUUAUCAUCAGCUGUUGAGCACCUUGUCAAAGAAGUCGGCACAUGGAAAUCACAAUGGAAAGGAGGAUUUUGCAUACAUUUUGAGAAUUUGUAUUCACUGGUUUUUUUUACUGCUUCCAAGUGACUUGACAUGUAGGAAGUCUGCAUUAUCAUGAUUUUAAGAUGAAUGAGAAACAAUGGCUACUUCCAAUACAAUAGCACAUUUGAUAAAAUGAAUAAGACACAAGGACUGCACUUGACAUUCUAAGGAAUAUCAACAAAUG